rnacentral:rRNA from 1 species
AUUGAACGCUGGCGGCAGGCCUAACACAUGCAAGUCGAGCGGUAACACAGGGAGCUUGCUCCUGGGUGACGAGCGGCGGACGGGUGAGUAAUGUCUGGGAAACUGCCUGAUGGAGGGGGAUAACUACUGGAAACGGUAGCUAAUACCGCAUAACGUCGCAAGACCAAAGAGGGGGAGCUUCGGGCCUCUUGCCAUCAGAUGUGCCCAGAUGGGAUUAGCUAGUAGGUGGGGUAACGGCUCACCUAGGCGACGAUCCCUAGCUGGUCUGAGAGGAUGGACAGCCACACUGGAACUGAGACAAGGUCCAGACCCCUACGGGAGGCAGCAGUGGGGAAUAGUGCACAAUGGGCGCAAGCCUGAUGCAGCCAUGCCGCGUGUAUGAAGAAGGCCUUAGGGUUGUAAAGUACUUUCAGCGGGGAGGAAGGCGUUGAGGUUAAUAACCUCAGCGAUUGACGUUACCCGCAGAAGAAGCACCGGCUAACUCCGUGCCAGCCGCCGCGGUAA